rnacentral:lncRNA from 1 species
CAUCAGAUGCCAUACCUCUUUACUGCGACAAUAAUGGUGCCAUAGCCCUAGCUAAGAAGCCAAGGUCUCACCAGAAGUCCAAGCACAUCGAGCGAUGAUUUCAUCUGAUUCGUGAUUACCUCAAAAAGGAUUAUGUCGAGGUCAAGAGAGUCGACUCCACAGAUAAUGUGGUGACCCGCUGACUAAGCCAUUGGGCCAACAG